AUUGGUACUCUAACAACGGCACUGACCUUUCCAUUGUAAUUAGUAAGUGCUAUUUGUUGGGGUAGUUUGA
rfam:Astyanax mexicanus Tnplaced_Scaffold2887, whole genome shotgun sequence.